UACGUAGGUGGCGAGCGUUGUCCGGAAUUACUGGGUGUAAAGGGCGUGUAGGCGGGAUUGCAAGUCAGAUGUGAAAUUCCAGGGCUUAACUCUGGAGCUGCAUCUGAAACUGUGAUUCUUGAGUGAUGGAGAGGAAAGUGGUAUUCCUAGUGUAGCGGUGAAAUGCGUAGAUAUUAGGAGGAACACCAGUGGCGAAGGCGACUUUCUGGACAUUAACUGACGCUGAGGCGCGAAAAGCGUGGGGAGCAAACAGGG
rnacentral:rRNA from 1 species